rnacentral:rRNA from 1 species
UACAGAGGUCUCAAGCGUUGUUCGGAUUCAUUGGGCGUAAAGGGUGCGUAGGCGGCGCGGUAAGUCGGGUGUGAAAUCUUGGAGCUUAACUCCGAAACUGCAUUCGAUACUGCCGUGCUUGAGGACUGGAGAGGAGACUGGAAUUUACGGUGUAGCGGUGAAAUGCGUAGAUAUCUGGAGGAACACCGGUGGCGAAGGCGGCAUCCUGGACCAACACUGACGCUGAGGAGCGAAAGCGUGGGGAGCAAACAGG